rnacentral:rRNA from 1 species
CAUGCUUACACAUGCAAGUCGAACGGCAGCACGGAGCUGCUCUGGUGGCGAGUGGCGAACGGGUGAGUAAUAUAUCGGAACGUACCCAGGAGUGGGGGAUAACGUAGCGAAAGUUACGCUAAUACCGCAUACGAUCUACGGAUGAAAGUGGGGGAUCGCAAGACCUCAUGCUCGUGGAGCGGCCGAUAUCUGAUUAGCUAGUUGGUGGGGUAAAGGCCCACCAAGGCAUCGAUCAGUAGCUGGUCUGAGAGGACGACCAGCCACACUGGAACUGAGACACGGUCCAGACUCCUACGGGAGGCAGCAGUGGGGAAUUUUGGACAAUGGGGGCAACCCUGAUCCAGCAAUGCCGCGUGAGUGAAGAAGGCCUUCGGGUUGUAAAGCUCUUUUGUCAGGGAAGAAAAGGCUGCGGCUAAUAUCUGCGGCUCAUGACGGUACCUGAAGAAUAAGCACCGGCUAACUACGUGCCAGCAGCCGCGGUAAUACGUAGGGUGCAAGCGUUAAUCGGAAUUACUGGGCGUAAAGCGUGCGCAGGCGGUUUUGUAAGACUGUCGUGAAAUCCCCGGGCUCAACCUGGGAAUGGCGAUGGUGACUGCAAGGCUAGAGUUUGGCAGAGGGGGGUAGAAUUCCACGUGUAGCAGUGAAAUGCGUAGAUAUGUGGAGGAACACCGAUGGCGAAGGCAGCCCCCUGGGUCAAAACUGACGCUCAUGCACGAAAGCGUGGGGAGCAAACAGGAUUAGAUACCCUGGUAGUCCACGCCCUAAACGAUGUCUACUAGUUGUCGGGUCUUAAUUGACUUGGUAACGCAGCUAACGCGUGAAGUAGACCGCCUGGGGAGUACGGUCGCAAGAUUAAAACUCAAAGGAAUUGACGGGGACCCGCACAAGCGGUGGAUGAUGUGGAUUAAUUCGAUGCAACGCGAAAAACCUUACCUACCCUUGACAUGGAUGGAAUCUCCGAGAGAUUGGAGAGUGCCCGAAAGGGAACCAUUACACAGGUGC